rnacentral:lncRNA from 1 species
UGAAGAUGAACAAGGUUCGAAGAUAGACAGCAACCAUUCCCCAACAACGGCGCCAGAAAUGCUUGUUAGUAUUUCUUAACUUUAGAGAUAAAAUCCGCAAGCUCACGGAUAAUACCGAUGUAGCACUUCACCCAGGAGUAUUCUCAGGUAUCGAUUUCCAUAGGGAACGUGUGUGUCAACUCCGGGUUUAGGUUCAUCCAAGGACACGAAGCUAUGGAUAGGCAAAGGAUAGAGAGGUUUCACCGGUGAAGAACAGGGUCUACAUAAAGCUUAACUUUAAUCCUAAUGAGGUAUUUCGGGCACUGUUGGUAUUUAUUACGAUCACAGAUAGAAUCCGCAAGCGCACUAAUAUACCGAUGUAGCACUUCCCCUAUGGAGUAUUUCAAGGGUAUUGAAUCCAAGGGAACGUGUGUGAUUAUCUCCUCGUCAGGUUCACCAAGGACACAAAGCUAAUGCGGGCAGAGGGCAUAGAGGAUUGCCUAAUGAGAAACAGUGUCUAGGGAAAUGUUAACUUUAAUCCUAACGCAAUACUUCAAGCACUGGCAACCCGUUGUUUCUAGAAGUUGCUCUACUACGUACCCGGACAGGGAGGACUUAAGUGCUCUUGAGAGCUGUCACCACCUCUACACCCACCUCAAACGUAUUGUAGGAUACGCAGCAACCAUUGGAGAUUAAUUACCUAGACAUCACAUCUACGCAAUUAAUAACUACUCUAGUGCCGAUCAAACACUAAAGCAAUCACUAUAAAUAAAUGGACUAUAGUGAACAAUGAUCCCGCAUGCUAAUUAGCUAGAAACUAACCAAGAAGUAAUUCUUACGAAGCAAACCUUAAUUACUCAGAAUGAUAUUUCUAUUAAAACAAAACAAUUAACAAGAUACAAGAGUAGAAGGAGAUUAAUGACAACUUCGGGAUUCCUCUGAUUCCUUCUACCUUACUCUCUCUCUUUUCUAAUAUACAAUAAAGUACACUAGAGCCUCUUGUAAUUCAGCUCAUGCUUUGGUGUGUGAGUGAAGUGAGAGAGAGGAGCUCUAUUUAUAGGCUUCAUAUGACGGUUACAGCUAUGAGAAAUGUCCUAAACGCCCUCCAACCGUCAUUAGGGAGCAACCCUGGACGUCCAUGUGGAAGGCUGGGAUGAAUUGGGCUUUGUGGCGGUUCGGCCGAACCAUGGGCUGGCCCAACCGUCUCCGGCCUUCUUUUAUUUCUUGACAUUUGGGUCCCACUUUAUUAUUCUUCUAGCGUUGGCCCAAUAAAUAAUGAUUUAAUAUAGUUUGUGGGCUCAUCACUCCAUGGACUCCAGCGGGAUGUAUAAUUCCCCUCCCUAUAUGUUUAUUUCCUCUCAACUUUAGUAGUUUGUCACCUGCAUACAAAUAUACACCAACACUGGUGGAAAUCAUUAGAAAUAAAACCUACCACUAUGAUUGAUGUUUCACAUUUAUAGUUUUAUGCAGGUAUUGACGGUGUUAUUUUGUAUUUAACAGCCGUCAACAGGCACUGGACAGCUCGCUGCUCCCAGAUAUCACUCUACUACACACCCGGACAGAGGUGACUUCAGCAUCGUGAGGGCUGUCACCACCUCUACACCUACCUCACACCUACUGUGGGAUGCGGAGCAAACACCGAAAAUUAACUACCUAGACACCGUGUCUAAGUAGAUUAAUUACUUACGUUAAUGUUAACUAUACACCAAAGUAAAUCACUAUAGUUUAGUUGAUUAUAGUGGACGAUUAUAAUAGACUAAGGCCCAUCUUUUAAUUCCAAUAUUUCCUUGAUAUUCUGUGUGGCUUUUAUGUUAUAAGCUGGACUCUGUAAUUGAAAAAUUGAAAUGGAUUAGAGAUAGAGAAAUCCAGAAGAAUUCCCUCAAGCGUUGCUCUGUUCCUCUCUGUUUUCUUUGUUUCCAUGCUCUCUUUCUUGCCAGAUUAGCUACAGAAAUAUCGCAAGGUGCUUGACGCCUUGACCUCGUGCCUAUGCCCAUCUGCCGGUCCCCACCCUAGACAGUACGCACGAAAAACGGAGCAUUUUAUUAGCAUAUGAUUAAUUAAAUAUUUUUUUUUCAAAAAUUGAUCAAUAUGAUUUUUUAAACAACUUUCGUAUAGAAAUAUUUUUUUUUAAAAAAGCACCAUUCAAUAGUUUAACGAAGCAAUGGAGUUGGAAACUUUGGAGUUCCAAACAAACCCUAAUUAAUAAACCAACAGCCGCACGCCCGGGUGGCCUCGAGGAGAUCGGGAAUAGGGUAGAGCAGUCGUCAUAGCGUUGGGAGUUGACAGGUUAGUUCGUUUCCUCUGGUUCCCAGCUCUCCACUCUCGUCUUCCACACGCACGUUUUUCAAACUGCUAAACGGUAUGUUUUUUUUUUGCAAAAAAGUUUCUAUAUGAAAGUUGCUUAAGAAAAUCUUAUUGGUCCAUUUUUGAAAAAAAAUAGCUAAUACUUAAUUAAUUACACGCUAAGGGGCAUCCACAAUGUGAAGCAAAAGUAGUCCAUAGGCAAUAUAAUAUUCUAUUCAGCUACCUUUUAUCAUUAUACAACUAGUCUAUAUGGAGAAAAUAACAAAAGGUAUCCAUAAGCAUAUGGACUACCCAUCUGGAAUAAAUAAUACUAUCUAUCUCUAUUUCUCUCUCAUGUCCUAAUGCUGCUACCUUGUAUCUAUAUACAUCGUGGAGGUUGCUAUAGUUAAAGUCUUUUUAUGUGGGUCCCAUCUAUAUGGAUCACUUUUGCCAUAUAUAUUGGUGAUGCCCUAAUAGACUGCUCGGUUUUCUGUGCGGAGGAGUUUGGUUCCCAACCAUCCAAAACGAACACAACCUAGUAGCUAGGCUUUUGCAUUUUACCACCUUCGUCCUAAAAAAAUUACAAUUAUAGGUUAUUUAGCAUAUACUAUUAAGAUUGAUGAAAAACUAUGGUAUGUCUCAUUAGAGCAUCACCAACAGCCAUCCUAUAUUCUUCCCAAAACUGAUUUUAAUGUAUUUUAUAUAAAAGAUGUAUCUAACAUAUCCCCUAUAGUCCUACACAUGUUUUGGAGUUUCCUUCCCCGUAUUUCUCGCUCCGUUGAUUCGAGGGAGGAGUGCGAUCUAUUCUCGGCGCAUACGGAGAAAAAAAAAUUCGUCGGUAGUUUAACAGAAGGGGUCUACUUUGUGGAGAAAAAUAAAUUCGUUGGUAGUUUAACAGAAGGGGUCCACUUUUAGUUUUUUUAUAAAUUUUAGGCUUUCUUUUAAGGCGACAUCAGUUUAUUUAUUUACUUCCUAUUUUCAGUUUAGGAAAACUAAAAACAAAUUUUCAGAGGAAGAUUAUACGUAAUCUCUUGGUGAUGCUCUUAAAUGGUGUAUAAGAAUAAAAUUGAAUGAGAAGUGAUUAUGAGACAAUUAAUACUCUAUUGUGACAAUUAUUUUUGACAGAUUUGAAUCCUAUAAUUGCAAUUAUUAUGGGACAUAGGUUAUAAUUAUGUAGCACAGCUUACAAAGCAACCGCUUGUAAUAAACUUUUGUAUUUUAUUAUUUCUGUAUUAUCAUAAAUAGCAGUGCUUGUAUUAAACUGCCCGAGUACACAAAUAACUAUAGAUGAUAAUACAAGCACUGCUUACAUUGCAACUCAUACAUUUAACAGUAUUGCAUAUACAUUUAAUAGUAUAGUGCGUACGCCCACGAGUACAUGUGUACGAGUAUACGAACUAGUGAUUACCUGCCACACCGGCAAUGUGGUUGUGUAUGGAUAUUUAUACGCGCGCACGUACGUAUGCUAUACACACAUGUAUGAGAUGGUGCGCCGGGAAGUAUGGCUGGAUUCUUAUAUGUUCCUUAUUACAAUAUAGCUGAACGCCAUCUUCGAUCCGAUGAAUAUCUUCUAUGCAUGCUUCCGCUGCUCACGCGCUACAUGCAGAUUACUACUUUAGAUAUUGAUAUUAGAAACAAAUACUUAAGUUUGUGUAUGAAUGUGCCUGGAAUAUAUUUCUGAUAUAAGUAAAUACUUCUCCGUAAAUAUUUCACUGUUCCCUUAAUAAUUAAUUAAACUCGUAAGGCAGGGUACAUUAGAUAUAUGUACCUAUGUAUUUAUCAUGGGCCGGGGAAGUACGCGAUUGUGUUUACCGCCUGGAUUGCUUGCUCCAUAUCAUUCUCCGAUCAGCUGUGUCAAAGGUAUAUACAAACAAAGUUAUUAAUCCACAACGGUGGAACUGAUGAACUUAUUCCAAAUAUUGUUUUUUUUUUUUCGCAUGCAUGCAUGUAUCGAUUGAUCGGUGUUGCACAUUUGGCCAAUUCAGUGAAGUCAUGUCCCGAGGACAAGAGCCUAACGACAGUUCAGGCCACCGUGAGUAUAUGCAUAUCUAUAAUGAUAUGCACAAUAUUUUAACAAACAUAUCUAUAAUUUUAUAAUAUUUAACAUAUACUUAUCAAUACAUUUCACACUAAAGUGCCGGCAUCAUUUGUUUGUUUAAUAAUAAAUGCUAAUAAACCAUGAUGUUUUAUUAUAUUUUUUUACUUCUAUCUUGAUUGUCUAAAAAAAUAUAUAUUUCGAUCUGUGUAUUCCACCGAUGGAGAAUACUUCCUCCACAUCUUUUAAGUGCAGUUGUGGAUUUUUUUAAUAUUUAAUCAUCCGUUUUAUUUGAAAUUAUUUUAUAAUUAGUUUUUUUAUAAGAUGAUAAACCAUAAAUAGUAUUUUAUGUUUGACUUUGUUUUUUAAGUUCUUCAUAAACUUUUCAAGACAGUCAAACGUUGGACACGGGAACUCACGACUACACUUAAAAUGGGAUGGAGUGAGUAUAUAUAUACUUUAUCCGUUGUGCAUUCCUCCAAUGGAGAAUAUAUACUUCCUCCAUCGUGCAAUAAGUUCUAUUUUAACUUUUUUUUUCAUUUGUCUCAAAAUUUUUUAGUAAUCAAUACAUCAAAUUUUGUGAAAUAGAAAAUAAUUAUAUUAGGAGAAGAUAGAGGGAGAAAUAGUUACAUCGAUUGUGAUUUGAUAAAGUAGUGUCAUGCUAGUUGUUUUGUUUUUCACUGGUAUACAUGUGAUGGGUAAAAAGCAAAUAUAUUUCGAACGAAGGUAGUAUAUAUAUAGGCGUGUACGUACCGGGUGGUUCGCUGACAGACGGUUGUUGCGAUCCAGCUGUCAGAACGCGAGAUAAUCAGGUAUCAGAACGCGCUGUAAAUUAAACGUGAACAACAAUAAUUGAGUGUACAGGCGUAUGUAUAUAGUACGUACCGGCAGAUGUGCCUUGUUUACUGGAACGUCUGUAUGUCAUCCUUGUGCCUUCUGCUAUGUAAAAAAAAGUGCAAAUUAAUUAACACUAUUGCAAAAUACCAUGUAGAGGCCGACCAGCUGACACCUACGAAGCUUCUUCUAUAUUUUUCCAAUGUAAAGUUAAGAACAGUUACCUAUAACCACUCAUCGGUACCCAGUUUGUUUUAAAAACCAGCACCAUAAUCCUCCGAAAUUAUUAGUGUCAGUUCUUAUAACAAACUGGUAGACAAGGUCAUACAUAAGUACCGGCUCUUAUAAUAAACCGGCACCUAUAAAUGUGAUACCAUUGGUACUGGUUUUUAUCAUAAACCGACACAUAGGAGCAUCACAUAUGUGCCGGUUUUCAAUAAAAACUAGCACCUAUGAGUCCAUAGGUACAGGUUUACAAUUAAAACCAGUACCGAUAAUAACGCAACUUAUAUACGCAUGUUUUUUAUCGAACUUUUUCAUAUGGAAGUCGGGUGAAGAUAAAUUUUAUGUCAAAUUUCUAGAGCUCGACAAGAUCUACAACUUUCUAGUUAAUCACUUUGGAUUUAAGGUCGUUUGGAUGUCUGAAAAUAUGUUGCAAGAUCUCAGAUCUAUUUGCAUAGGUGGAUAUUUAAAAUUUUUGAACGAUAUUGGAUGGAGACAAAACCUAUAUAAAUUAUAUCUACGUUGUUUUAGUUGACAAACUUUUUAUUUGAGCUCUCUUUGGUGUUAAAUAUGAAUUAUAAUUUCGGAUGACAAUAAUUUCAAAAGAAUAACAUUUGUUUCCAAGACAACAAAUGCUUGUCAGUGAGAUGGUGAGGCUUUGGUUCAAGGGAAAGGUUUUGAGUUGCAAUCUUACUUGACACAUAUAUACAUGAAUAUGAGUUAAAAAAAUCGUGUGACUUGUGGGAAAAAGAGUACGAUCGUAUAGGUUGCUAAUAAAAAUAUCAAAUAUUUUUUCGAUAUUUUAGCAUCUGCAAAAUUAAAAAAAAAUUGUGCAACCCCGAAGGUACCGAAUAAUUUGUGCCGGUACUUACAACCCCAUUAAAACGGGUACCUAUAACCGUGUAUGUAGUAGUGUAACAAAAGAUAAUCAUAGUAUCUCAUAACACAGUAAACAUGAGUUAAGAAUGAUUGAACCUUAUACGAACGGUAUAUAUAUCGUAUGAAAAAAUAAACGUCGAUUCGGCUGCUGGGUUAGAAGAUGACAAUACUACGAUAAUACGUACAUUAUAUUCAUCUCAUCAUUAGGAAGAAAUAAAGAUGGCCAGUACCAUAAGUUAAAAAGAGCCUUUAAUAUAUAACACAGUUGAUUUUUUUGUCACACGUUCAUCUUAUUAAAAAAAUUAAAAUUAAUUUUGUUAUCACUCAAAGUACUUCAAGCAUAAUUUAUCUCUUCGUAAUCCGAUGAGCAUCUCAACCCCUAUUUUCGAUUUCCCAGGCAGACGUGUGGUUCCAAAAAAGUAUCCGACUGGAAAAAUGAAAGGGCCUUGUCUGCGAAAAUGAAUUUUUAGUAGUGUUCUACAUUUGCAAAAAAAAAAUUAAAGAAGAUGAAUAAUUAAGUAUGUGUUUAAAAUUUAACUAUAUCAUUUCCAAAAAAUGGAGGAAGUAUUUACAUUUCUCGAUGCCCAUAUAGCCAAUCUUGUGUAGAAGAAUGGAGAGUCACGCAUUAAAUCCGAGAAAGUCAUUAUUCAUUAAGAUGAUAGGUGGUAGGAUUGAAAUAUGCGUAUCAAAAAUAAAUUUUGCAGAUUUAGAAAUUUUUCAGAUUUGGAAAUAUGCCUAUCAAAAAUAGAUGGAGGGUUUAAAGUUUAACAUGCAAAUAUGUUACAUUAUCAUCUACUAACAAUUACAUUUAAGCAUCAUAUGAGCAUGCUAUAUUAUCUAUAAUUUUAUAAUUUAUUAAUUUUUACAGAUUUAAAAUGCAAGCAUGUUAAAUCAUCCCACAUAAUUCAGAUAAUAUUUCAAUAUAUCUCUCCAUCAUGUUUUAUAACAUCCUAUAUAACUAUACAGUCCAUCCUUAUAACCCACUAAAUUCUAAAGUUUAACAUGCAAAGAUAUUACAUCAUCAUCUACUAACAAUUACAUUUAAGCAUCAUACAAGCAAGCUAUAUUAUCUAUAAUUUUAUAAUUUAUUAAAUUUUAGAGAUUUCAAAUGCAAGCAGGUUAAAUCAUCCCACAUAAUUCACACAAUAUUUCAAUAUAUCUCUCCAUCAUUUUUUAUAAUAUCCUAUAUAACUAUAUAGUUCAUCCUUAUAACCCACUAAAUCAUAAAGUUUAACAUGUAAAGAUGUCACAUCAUUAUAUACUAAUAAUUACAUUUAAGCAUCAUACAAGCAUGUUAUAUUAUCUAUAAUUUUGUAAUUUAUUAAAUUUUAAAGAUUUAAAAUGCAAGCAUGUUAAAUCAUCCCACAUAAUUCAGAUAAUAUUUCAAAAUAUCUCUCCAUCAUUUUUUAUAAUAUCCUAUAUAACUGUAUAGUCCAUCCUUAUAACCCACUAAAUCGUAAAGUUUAAAAUGCAAAGAUAUCAAAUCAUCAUCUACUAACAAUUACAUUUAAGCAUCAUACGAACAUGCUAUAUUAUCUAUAAUUUUAUAAUUUAUUAAAUUUUAGAGAUUUAAAAUGCAAACAGGUUAAAUCAUGCCACAUAAUUCACAUAACAUUUCAAUAUAUCUCUCCAUUAUUUUUUUAUAAUAUCCUAUAUAACUAUAUAAUUCAUCCUUAUAACCUACUUGCACCAUGGCCAUCGUGUUUACCUUCCAUCUGCAGCCCUAAAUAAGUGGAUUGGUCAUUAACAUAUAAACGCAUACAUUAUGAGGUAGUGUCAUAUUCUUGAUUAGAUUAAAUUGGCACUUGUUAUGAAACGAGACCACCUGUGGGUAUAUGACAUGAUCAAUGGUUGUAUCCAUCGUAGGCAUGGUCACAUCCUCCUCCCCUUCUUCACGGAAAACCAUCCUCGGUUUUAACUUUGGUAAUUCACGUAGCAUAUCCUCACACAGCGCUUCAUAUGGUGCAUUCUUUACUGUAUAUGGCAGCAACAUUGAGCGAUCUUGUCGCUCCCCUUCUUGAGAACCAACCUGCGUCUUUGGAAAAAAAGCAAAACAAACUUGAAGUAACAUCAGUGGUCCUAACACUAGUCUCCAGUUUGCAUUUUCUUGCCACAACAAUAGAGGGUUGCAUAUCUGAACAAAUGUAAACUUUGUGCACCAAAUAAAUUCCUCUACCAUUAUAUUUGCCAAAGAUGUGAAAAAUAACAUUACGAGGACAUGGCAAAUCAGAAUUAGCAAAUAUUUUGUCCUUCAAACAAUUGAGCUCACAAGAAUCAUCAAACAUAAUAUAGCCCAAUGUAUUUAAAGAAGAUUGCAAUUGAAGUUCAUCAUUCUCGUUGGACGUGUGAAUAACAUGCUUAAUUCAGUACAUGGAGAAUCAAGAUUAAAAGUAGCAUGUUCAUUCACUAGUUGUGGAAUGGUAUAUAAGUGAAGUACUAUCGCACAACUCUUCUUUAUCACAAGGAACAGAAUGCAAAUCAACUUGUGACAAAGGCAAUUCAGAAGUAGGUUCCACUAAAGUUUGCUCUAGGUCAGCAUGGAAAUUACUCACCUUGAGUAAUUUCUGCACCAUUUAAUUUACCUUUUAUGCCCUCUUAAGAUAAUGUAGGUGCAUCAGCCUUCUCCUCAUUUGCGAGUGAUGGAAGUGACAUAUCUAACAUAUUGUUCUUCUUAUUUUGGGGACUGUUCUGAACUUCCUGUAAAACAUCAGUGAUAGGAGGCACAAGCAUAGCUUGUUGCCCCGUUGGGUUCUCCAAAAUUUUGCGCUCAACGUUGCAAGCAAGCAUGAACAAUUGGCCUAUAUGAUUAUAUGUCACAUUAUCAAACCCAGCCUGAAUAUUGGAAUUAAGCCCUUUGAAAAAUCUAGUCAUUAUGUUCUCAUUAGAUUCUUGUAAACCACUAUAAGUGAUACAAAUUUAAUAAUCAUGAAAGUACUCCCUAACAGUUUUGUCACCAAGUUUUAGAUGUUCAAAUUUCUCAAGGAGAGCACGUUUAUAAUAUGAAAACACAAAAUUUUUCCUCAUCAUUGUUUUGCAUUCAUCCCAAGUUUCAAGCUUAUUGCCAAUAGUAUACCACCAAAAAGAUGCAGAACCGGUACAUUUACUACUAGCAGGCUUAAUCAUUUGAGCAUUAGAGAAAUCAUACUCAUCAAAUUGUUUGUCUACUGCUAACUCCCAAUUAACAUAAGCGGCAGAAUCAUACUUACCAUCAAUAACUGGUAAUUUAGAUUCUAACCUUGCAAGAUCAUUAUCAUGUACCUCAUAUGUGAUGCGUGAAGAAGUCGCUAUAUCUCGUUGAUGGUGAAGAUGUUGAUGUUGAGCAUAACCAUCUCGUUUCGCCUUGCGCAAUCCUGCCAUGGUUAGUAGCAAACAAGAAACAUACACAAGAAUAUGCAUGCUCCUAUCAACUACUAGGUAGUGGCAGCUGAAAUAUUACUAACACUCAAACUUUUCACCAAGCUCUUACAAGUUCUUACCAAAGCAAGCGGAAUGGUGAUGUACACCGACUCAACCAAGCACCCCAAUGGAGUUUGGAUGUAUCGAUGCCUUGGCAAACACUUGCUGUACGGCUGCAAUCAAAUCUGUGGAGCUUUGGGUAGGCUUAAAUAUGUAGCAAGGAUGGAAAAUGGUCAAAUCAGAGAAUGCAAAGUUGAAUAAUUGUUCAAAGUCAAGUACCGUGCUGGUCCUAGGCUAGAACGUACUAGAGACACGAGCCUAGACACAAACGAUACCACAAGAUAGCACUAGGAACAAUUCAUGCACAACUCUGAUAUAUAAAGUUCAGCUCAAACAUAACAAUAUUUUCUCUUUUCUUUCUUUCUUCUUUCUUUUUUUUUCUUUCCUUUCCUUUUCUUUUCUUUUUUUUGGGUGCGGCUUUUCUUUUCUUUUUUUAUGCACCUUUCUGCCUUUUUUUCCUUUCUUUUUUUUGAUUUUUUUUACAAAAACAAAUUCAAGGACCUCAAUGUAAGGUUACAGGGACUCAGAUGUACAUAUAAAAUUUACAGGGACUCAAAUGUAAAAGUCCAAACUCAAAAUUAAAAUUAUACAAAAAUGGAAUGCUCUCGUCCUACAGGUUCCAUUUUUGCAAACGGAUAUUGAAUCCGACACCAAAAGAAAAUUUUACCGGUGUUUGACACACCUGGACAGAAACGGAGUCGUGAGGGAGGGAGGGAGUCGGACUCACAAGUCCCGGCCACGAGAUUGGAAGGGAAGAGAUCCCACUCGGCCUCAGUUUGGAAAGGCACUAGGUAAUAAACAGAAACAGAUUCGGCACUUCCUUUUUUAGUAGUUUUGCGUGGCCCUCCAAAUAGAAACCAAUCUACAAAUUGUAGCACUUCAUCCAAAAACCGAUCUACUAUCCCCUCUCUCUCUUCUUCCUCACGCGCAACAUCACAGGCGUACUAUCACGGCACACACCAUCACGGCACAGCCACCGACUAGAAGCUAUGCAACUCAAAAACUCAAAAACUAACCUCAGAAACUUCUGAAAACUACAAAAAUAGAACCGUGGCAGCAAGCCGAUUCCAUUUUCGUAGGUCCCGACGACACCAAAGACAUGGAGGCGACGACGACUGUGGUGUAAAAUGUGACCAGAACUCGAAGGUCUAAGCGAACUAGACGCUAUGACCAGCAACUACGACUCGACGAUGCAACAGAAAACUCAACAAAGCAAAAACUGAAAUGGACAAUCCAAUGCACAAGUAUGGCUAGGCACAGGAUACAAUUUUUUUUUUGUAUGGCAAUUUUCUAGUUAUAGGAAGAUAAAAACUCACCGAGUAAUGAAAGCUCUGAUACCACCUGAUGGACCCUAAGCUCCACUUGAGACACUCAAGGCUGCUGUUGGCCCGAUCUUUCAGCGAGUUGUAGAUAACUAUGAUUUGAUAGAAACGUUGACGACCCGACUACAACCGUACUAGAUGUUGUUGUGUUGCGCCUUAGCGAUCGAUACACCUCUCCGUGGGUUGUUGAUCUUGCCUGUGCAAAUCAACCUUAUUCCUGCAAGCAAAUCGAAGAAACAAGAGAGAAAAAGAUAAAAGCAAUCUGAAUUGCAGAUAGGAAAUAAAUACAGAUGAUAAGUUGGGGUUCUGUAACGAGCAAACCGACGAUCUAACCGAUCACGGGAUUACAUGGAAAAGUAGCGAAGCUAAACUUUUAUCUAAAACAAAACCCAACUAACCCGGAAGGGGUUACUAGCUAUUUAAGGGAUGGAGGAGGUCAGAUGGGCGUCCUCCCUCUGUUUGGGGCGCAGCCCCCCUUGGGCCCUACUUGGGCUGGGGUCCCAGACGAAGUUACUGGCCCAUAGUCCCAUUACAGACAAUGCAGCCCUUUGUUUCUUCAAUUGCUAGUGACUCAGAUGGAAUUUGACAAUGAGGUUGGAUCCGUUUGAAAGAGAAUUCUAAGAGCUUUCCAUCAAGUACUCGUGGGCCCAAAACGGAGGCCAUAUGGAGAUUUGGCGACCGUUUGAAUUCAGCACUAUCUUAGGUGGCCGAAUUGGAUUCCAGAACGCGGGGGACUUCAACUCCAUCUCUGCAUGCACUGUGGCCAUCGUGUUUAUCUUCCAUCUGCAGCCCUAAAUAAGUGGAUUGGUGCUGAACAUAUAAACUCAUACAUUAUGAGGUAGUGUCAUAUUCUUGAUUAGAUUAAAUUGGCACUUGUUAUGAAACGAGACCACCUGUGGGUAUAUGACAUGAUCAAUGGUUGUAUCCGUCGUAGGCAUGGUCACAUCAGGCUUCCAGGAGAAGGAGCGACACAGUGGUGGCAGGAGUGAUGUGGCGCGUGUCUAUAGGUUGGACAGCGACGGCGCGGUCCGGGUGUCGACAUCGACACAGUGGAGGGGAGGUGCGAAGCGGGCGGUGUGGACGCAGCUCACGCGGGCGGCGUUUGCAGCUAAUGGAGAGGGAGGAUGCAAGGGUGUGGACGAGGAGUAGCGGCACACACACGGGCGUCGGCCUGGGAGGCAACGAUGUAACCGUCGGUCACUAGGCUUCCCCGGAGCACGUGUCGGCGGCGGAUGAGAUGGACGGCGCUGAUGUGGGCCCGCAUGUCGACAUCGAGACUGAGGAGGCUUACGAGGUACGCUCCACCCUGUGCUUGCUCUCCCGUGUUCGGUGUGGACUUUUCUUCUUUUCGGUGUAAACCCGUCUCACUGUGGUGUUGGUUUUGGGGGGAGGAUCUGGGCUGUGUUUAGUUCAGCGAUGUGACUGAAAAGUUGUGUGUGUAUGACAGGUUGAUGUGAUGGAAAAUGACUGAAGUUUGGAUCCAAACUUUGGAUCUAAACAUAGCCUUGGUGGACUGGGUGUUUGUAGGUGAAAAUAGAUGGAUGACCUCAUCCAUGGGGAGGGGUGCAAGGGCAUGGCGACCGAGCUGAACAUGGUGCGCGACGUGCAUCGCUGCGUUGCGUGGGAUGCGAGUCGGUGCACGGCGUUGGAGUGUGACGCGGCGCGGUGCACUGAAGGAGGUGGAGCAGCGCGACACGGCGUGGCGUGGCGGCCUGGCGCACCGGCCCUGCCCGGCUCGGCAUUGUGCCGAGCAGGUGGCGGGCAUGCACAGCCAAUUGGCUUUGCGAGAAGGGGAGGGGAGGUAGACUUAGGCUGCAGGAGGGAUGGGCUUGCGGGUGAGAAAGGAUAGACUUGGGCUGGCAGAGAGGAUGGUGGCCCAACUGUAAUAGAAGUAUUUGGUAUAUCUGUAACAAGGAAUUUGCAAAUGGAAUUUGUACAUUGUCUGUAAACAUGUACCGGGAUUGUAGGGUUGUAAUUGGACUGCAUAUUUGGACUUGGACGGUGUAAUUGGACAUUUGAUUCUGAGUUGAAAUUUGUAACUGGGGCCUGGAAUUGAAAAGUGGCUGUUUGGGUGGGAUGAACAAAUUUUGAUUCGGCCGCUUAGUUGCCCAAGUACGCAACAUAGGAUUUCUUCACGACCGCUCAAGCGAACGAAAGACGACAAUGCCGAGGGGUUUUAGACGCGACGAUUGGUAUACAAAUCCAUCAGACGUGAUAGGGUUUCAAAGGUAGGAAUGAUAUCAACGAUAUUUGGAUUGAUCGCACGACAUUCGACUUUAUCGUAUGAUUGUAGAGUUGUCAAAGGUAAAGAUGGAAUCGAAGGCAUAUGGGUCGACGCAUGACCAUUAAAUCCGUCAAAACGAUUUUAGAGUUUCAAGCGAAUGGUCGACCUCGGGGAUUUUAAGUAGAAGGAAUAGGGGAGUAAGGAAUCCGAGGGAGUCCGAGCCGAAUAGCCGAAGAGGGUUUUGAUUCGAUCGCAAGGUUCCAAGUGUUCUGGGAAAGAAUUGGUAUUGCGAGAAGCGAAAAGUUUUUCGUACUUCGAUCAGCUUAACAUCGAAGUGCUUAACAAUACAACAGAGAAAAGGGAGGACGAGGAAGGAUAUCGUUGGGAGGACAUCCUUUAGGUGGAUCAAUUUGUCCGCGGUAUUCCAGUGAUUCAAGGAAGGUACGGGGUAUUGCAACCGUCUAGAGAGUUGAGAGGACAUAGGAGGGAUUUUACCUUGAUGGGCGAUUCUGGAAGAACUACUGAGUUCGAGUAAUCCCAGACCCUAGAACAAUCGGUUCGGGAGGAUCCGAUUGAGAAGGAGGAUCGAACUACGGAGUUCGAAUCCGAAGGAAUGUAUGACAAGGAUUGGGAUUCAUAAUGAUGAAUUAACUGAGAUCUUUGGCCCAAACAAUUAAAUGCACACAAAUACUCCCUCUGUUUCAUAAUGUAAGUCAUUCUAGCAUUUCCCAUAUUCAUAUCAAUGUUAAUGAAUCUAGACAUAUAUAUCUAUCUAGAUUCAUUAUCAUUGAUAUGAAUUGUAGAAAAUAAUAGAAUGGCUUACAUUGUGAAACGGAGGAAGUAACACAAAUCCCAUUAUGCAGGUCGGCUAGGCCUUUCAAGGAGGAAAACCAGACUUUUCCGUGAAUUCUUUUGAAAUAAAUUCUUUUAAGAUUUUAGUUCGUAAAUAGAAUUUUGCUAGUAAAUUCACUGUAGUCUUUAUUUGUAAAAUAAUUCCCAAACACUUAUAAUUUCGAAAUAGGGUUUUCAGAAGUUAACUAAUAUUAGCCCUCAUUUGUAAAAUAGUUUUCUCGGGGAAAUAUCUCUCAAAGUAUGUUUUAUAAAUAUUUAGUAUUUGUUUUUAUUUAUAAAACAAAUACCUCAAAUAGGUUCUAUUUCCCCGAGAGAGGGUUUUCCGAAAGAUAAAUAGCAUUUGCAAACAUUUUCUAAAUUAAUAUAUUUCAUAAUCAUGGUUCCUUUCACAAAUAAUAUUUGAAUGUAAAAUAAAUUUUGUCCCUAGAUUUCCGUCGUCGUGGUCCAAGCGCAACCGAAAAAUGGGAGAUAAAAACCAAUAAAAGCCAGCAUGAUGGAUUUUGGAAAUGAUUUUUGAUUAUCAUGAAAUUUUAAUUUCGCAAAUCUGGACAGAAAUUUUCAGGGUGUUACACCGACGAUCUGCCGACCAUAGACCCGGACGUUGAGGAAUACUUGGAGAAUGAAGAAAUGGAGGAAGCCAUUGAUGAUGCUGUGGCUGAUGUGAGCGAAACGAGAGAAGCGGCGCAAACACCUCCAGCCGAUCCACCAAGCCCGAAAAGCACACUGAGUCCUUCAAAACGCCAACCCCGUCAACCUCCAGUACGUUACUUUCUAUCCUUUGCUUCAAUUCAUAAGGCUACAGCUUCAUCCUGACCAAACUUUCUAAUUGAAGAGGAAGAAACUGGCUUCCAAGAAAAAGCCACCGACACCGCCUUCAUCGCUAACUCACAACUUAAUCUUUUUUCUUCCAUUUUCGUUAAACGAUGUCGUACUUAUUCUUUUUUUUCCGCCUCUUUGCUCCCCAUCUCUUUCUCAACAUGAGUCAAGUGAGCGAAUUCCAUCGGGUAAAGAAGACCAUCAUGCGGAAAAACCAGAACAUCCGAUCCCUGCCGCGCUUGUAUGUAUUUUCAUAUCCUCACAUAUCAGCUGCAACGCUUGCACUAUUAAUAUAGCUUAUCUCUUUUCAGGUUUUGGCCGAUAUGUUUUCCUUUGACAGUAACCAGUUCAUGGACGAAGAACGGGAGGAGGCUACCAGUAAAGCCCUAGUCCCUAUUAAUGAUGAUAUCAAGGCCAAACUUGUAGAUAUCGCUCAUCGGCUAAGGAACUCUUUGGAUUCCUUAGUCAUCGACUGUGGGCCGAUCAGAGCCAGGUUUGAAGAAAUCCACAGCCAGAUCCCGGAAGCCCUUGCUGACAUCAUUUCUCCAGUUGUGUAUUUAGAGCAACAUCGGUUCAAACUGGAAUGGGCGAGGCAGAGGAUCGCAGACAGGCGCGAGAGGACUAAGCUGAAGGUCAUGAUCCAAGCGAAUCGACUAUCCAUCAAGGAAGAAAAAACCAAACUUGACGAGAUGGAGGCUGGCCCAAGUUCUACUCAAGCCAACAGAGAUCGGCUCAGAACUAGGGAGGCAGAGUUGGUAGCUGAGCUUGAAAAAUGCAGGGCCGACAUAUCAUCGGAGGAGCAAAAACUUGUUGAUCUCCCCAACGCCAUAGAGGAACAGAGAUCCAAACUGAAGAGAUCCAUCAAGCACCUCUCGGAUCUGUCACAUCCAGAUUUUCAUUUUUAUGAUUUAUAAAUUAUUUAAUAAAUUAUUUUUAGAAUUUAUAUUAAAUGUUCAUUAAUUUACAAGUGAAGUUAAAUGCGGGAAAUAAAAUUUUCUAAAUAUAAAGCAUGGCUGGAUUUAAUUUUCAUUAAAUUCUCCAUGACUAAGUUCACUCUUUGCAAUUUUCUCGGAUUUUUCAUAGCUCAAUUCCUAAUUUUAAUAAUACAAAGAGUGUUUCAUUAAUUAUUCACAUAAUAAAUUAAUCAUUAAAUGAUCUGAUUUUGAUAUUGUUAAUUAAAUUGAGUGUCCAAUUAUGUUCAAGAUUUUUGCUGAAAUUAUUUGAGCAUUAAAAGUAUUUUUAACAAUUCAGAGAUCAUUUUAGUGAUUAAUUUAAAUAGAGAAGUAAUUAAAAUCCUCCCUUCCAGGUUCGCCGAAUCUGGAAAGUCCUUUGCUUUGCUGCUCCCUCUUCUCUCUUCCGGUCCAGAAAAGAAAGUCUGUUUCACUUCCCUAUCGCUGCAGUACUCCUUCUACCUCUGGACAGAGCCCGAGCUCCCGUGCCCGUGCACAGUUGCCGCCGCCUCCUCCCACCAAUCCGGCGUCCCCGUUGCUCUUCUUUCCACAUUAGUUGCGGGAAUGGAAUCCUCUCAAUCUCCUCUACAAUUUCCCCAAGAAAUCCCCAAAAGUUUCUAUGAAAAUCCUUUCCAAUAUCGCAGAUCAAUCUUUCCUUUUCUAGUGAGAACCCUAGAAUUUCCUAGAGUUUUCCCCGUCGAUUUGGGCCCGGACCCGAGCUCCCGUGCCUAUAUAAAGGACCCCUAGUCGUCCUCUACUUAACCCCUCAAGUUCCAGCUGCCGCCAUCACCUGUAGCGCCCUAGCCGGCGCCACCGACGCUGCCAUGUCUCUAGCCGCCCCGCGCCGUCGCUGUGGUCGCCGCCGCUGUUCGCCGUCGCCGUCAUUGACAAGCACCUCCCUGCCCUUCGGAGCACAUCGUCGGCCAUCUCCUUCGCUGUCCGUCGUCGCGUAAGUGUUGGUAAGAAUCGCCGUCGCCUUCUCUACCUCCCGGUGCCCUCCGUUUGCACUAUUGUGCUGUGGUUCGCCGGCAACCGCCGCUCCCAUGCCGUUUACCGGUGAGGUUUUCCCUAGGGUCUUAAUCCAAUCUAACCUAAUCCGCUGUCUGUCUAGCGUCGUCAUCUCCAUGUGUUGCCGCCGGGUUGUCGUGAUCGCUUUGGUUCGGUGAGACUUCUAUCUGUGUUCCCUCGGUUUAGGUUUUAAUCUCUUGUUUGUGUCAUCUAGUAGCUGCUACUUUGCCGGCUGUGCCGCCGACACUAGCCGCUUAGCCGCCGCUGUGCCGCUCCCUGCCACAGCCGUGCUGCUGCUACUGCGUGUUGUCGUUGCCGCAGACGUGCCGCUGUUAAUCCGUGUCAUGUCGCUGCCUAGCCGCUGCCCCAAAUCGUGCAACGCCGUCGCUAUCCUGUGUCGUCGUUGUUGUGGUUUGAUCGCUGCCAUAGCCUGGUAGCCGAGUCACAAGGCCAUAGGUGCAACUCUAGGUUCCUACCGACCUGUCGUUUGCCGUACCAGGGCUUUACCGUGAAUCGUGUUUAGCCACCGAUUGAGCCACAACCGUUGUUGAGUCGUUCGCUCGUUCGUUCGAACGAGGUUUCCCCCAUGCCUCGUUCGUUCGUCUGUGUUGAGUCGUCCUUUAGUUUAGAGCCGUUUAGAGUCGCCGGUUUCGGUUGAUCAUUUGGGUGAUCCUGUGUCAUGUAGAAUUGACUCGUUGAGUCGGUAUCUCAUGACGCUCGCUUGCCAGAUCAAUCCAAGCCAUCCGAUCUUGGUCGACUCGGUCAAGACUAAUCUCAGCCAUCCAAAAUCAAUAUAAAUCAUUUCCUCUCUUUUCAAUGGCAUAUUAGUUCUUUUUAUCAUAUGUCAUCUACCAAAUUUAAUCUGAUCUUUUCCGGAGGUUAUUUUAAUCUUUUAUCUCAGUUAUAAAUCAUUUGUAAAUUGUUUAAUUAAUUUGGAAUAGUCCUUUCUUUAAUAGGUCCAAUUGGAAUUAAAUUUUGUAAAAUUCAUAACUAAUUCAUAUGAAGUCAGAAUGAGGUCGUUCAAGUCUCAUAAUUCAUCAUGUUUGUUUACUUUAUAUGUACUGUUUAUUUGGCUUUUAUUAGUCUUUUUCUCGUUUUGCGUGUUAGCUUGUCGUUUCCGUCGUUUCGAAGGUUCGUGAGUGUGUCGGAAGUGUUACAGAAGACUAAUUGAAGACCCAUUAUUGCAGGCAAGUCACACAGAUCCCAAACACAAUUCCUUUGAGCAUGUUGAUCCUAUAUUUAAAUUCUCUAUUUAUUUCAACUGUGUAUUUGUUUUCGAAUGUCACCGAGUGGUGUGAACCUAUUCCUUUGUUAUGGUCAAUUUGCAUUGAUUACCCUAUUUCUUGAUUACCUCGGGUUAUAAUUUGACUAGUUGGAUUUAUAUAUUGGUUCAACUAGAUGUAUUAGAUCUAAUUGCUUAGCCAUGCCUAGAAACAUUAGCACACUAUUGGGAUGAUUAAUGUUUCACUAUUACCUAAUGAUUCACUAUUACCUAAUGAUCAAUCAUGAUUGGCUAAUUAAUUAAUAUGCCAAUUAAAACUUGAUUAAUGGUGGGUUGUGAGCAUAUGGUUUUGAUGGUCGUGCUAAUGACAAUUAAGGACCGGUUCACGAGUUUCGGUUGUGAAACAUUAACCAUGCCAACCACAAGCCAGCAUGGGCAACGGCUUUACCUUUUCUAUAGCAUGGUUCAUUGCGGGGCACCAGACUGAGAAGUGGCGGAGAUAAGCCCACAGGGGUCGCUGGGGAGUCCAUGCCUUGUUUUAUAAGGGGGUGAUUAUGAUCCAGGAACAGUGCGCUAUGAUGGAUUGUGUUAUGCAAGGGGUACUGUCAUAGCUCCUUUCCGAGGUACUGUGGUGGUAUUGAGGCGCAUGGUGACAUGUCAUAGGGUUGUGUCUUGUGGGUAUAGUGGCACAUCUAUAGCCAGAGUAAAACUAUUCGAAUAGUCGUGCCCGCGGUUAUGGGCGGGUCUAAUAAUGUAUUUCGUGAUUAGUCUCACACUUCUCACCAUAAAUAAAUGAUACUACAACUGGUAAUAAUUUGAUUAGCUCCUGGUUUGGAAUGGUACAUUCCUGGUUUGGAGAUAGAUCUGUAUAGCCGGGUAUGGUUGUUCAGGUUUGGUUGGCCCUGUGCAGCAUGGGUGUGAUGUUUAGUGUUGAUUAAUAUUGAUGAUUAAUUACUCUACUGUUUUACAAUUCUCAAAUAAGUCUGUGUACCUCGGCCGAUUCCUGGACGAGGAUUUUAUGCACAAAUAAGUUCAGAAAUUACUAGUGAAUUUUCGGGCGUGACAGGAUCUGAGCAAGUCUUUGAAGGUGAUUCCUAGUACCGACACAAUCGACGCUCAGGCCAUAGAGGAAGUAGAGCAAAUUAGGCAACGGGUUGUGUCGGCUAUCAAUGAUCUUGUAUCCGGGUGAUCAACUUGCCAGGGACAAUUUUCUUUUGUAAUAGGAACUUAAACAAUGGCUUGCCAGUUCACGUCUUUCACCAUGUCUCGUAAAACUUCGAAAACCCACACUUGAAAUUUCCUAGGGAUCUCGAUCUUGCUCGUAUAUGCAUGCCACAUUGAUUUUGCAAUGUUGAAGAGAGAUUGGUAAAAUUAUAUUGAUCUAAGGGUGAUAAUGUACUUAUUGGCCAUCUAAAGGCGAUGUUAACACAUCGGCUAUCAAGCAUCGGCAUGAUUUAACCGAUCAAAAACACUAAGGGCAAUAAUACACUUAUCGGGCAUCUGAAGGCGAUGUCAAUACAUCGGCUAUGAUGUGUCGGCAUAGCUUAGCCCAUCAUGAAUUAACCCAAACACUUGGUUAGCACUUCUUCAAAUAUUUUCCAUUCAUAGCUCUCCCAUAAACUUCUCCGUCGAGCCCCUGUAACAUAUAGGCCCCCUUAGAGACAGACUUGUAGAUUCGAAAAGGCCCUUCCCAAUUCAGCGACCACUUGUCGAAUUUGUUGUCGCAAGUCCCUAUCGGCAAAAUUAGUUUCCAGACCAAUUCGCCCUUUGAGAAGGAUUUGGGCACAACUUUCUUGUUAUAAUGAUGGGCAAUUCUCUCCUUAUCUCUUGUUACCUUUCCCAAGGCCCGCAUCCUGGAUUGGACCAAUUCUUCUCACUCAUCUACCAUCAGAUUGUGAUAAUCAUCCGCCGUUAACUCAUCUUGUAAAGUAAUCCUUCUCAAGCCAAUGUUAACUUCCCUUGGUAAGACUGCCUCAUGCCCAUAAACUAGCUUAUAGGGAGGAACUUGAGUUGACCCAUGGCAAGCCAUCCUGUAGUACCACAAUGCUUCUGCUAAUCUGGCAUGCCAUUGCUUGGGAAAAUCAGUGAUCUUUCUCUUCAUUAGUUUAGUCAAGCUCUUGUUAGAUGCUUCUGCCUGCCCAUUGGCCGGUGCGUAAUAUGGCGAGGAGUUCAACAGCUUCAUCCCCAUGCUGUCUACAAAUUGGACAAACUCAUCGGACACGAAAUGGAUCCUUGGUCGGUCGCGAUUGUCUAUGGUAUCCCAAAUCUAUAUAUGAUAUGCUCCUUAACAAAUGGCAAAAUUGGUUAUAUAGCAUCGAAAGUUCACGUUUUUGGUUUUAUAGCACCGAAAGUUACCGGUUCACUUUAAUAGCAUCCAAAGUUCACCAUAUUCCCAUUUUUAGCACUUCCAUCAAUUUUUCCGUCCGUCUUGAUGGUUAUUCAUCCAGUCACACACAUGAUAUGACAUUUCUACCCCUCAUUGAUAUGCAUUAUACUUGUACUUGUGAGGGGUAGAAACGUCAUAUCGUGUGUGGCUGGAUCAAGACGGACGGAAAACGAUCGAGAAUUGACGGAAGUGUUAAAAAUGGGAACAUGGUGAACUUUGGGUGCUAUUAAAGUGAACCAGUAACUUUCGGUGCUAUAAAACCAAAAACGUGAACUUUCGAUGCUAUAUAACCAAUUUUGCCAGCUUGUAGGGAGGAACUUGAGUUGACCCAUGGCAAGCCAUCCUGUAGUACCACAAUGCUUCUGCUAAUCUGGCAUGCCAUUGCUUGGGAAAAUCAGUGAUCUUUCUCUUCAUUAGUUUAGUCAAGCUCUUGUUAGAUGCUUCUCCCUGCCCAUUGGCCGGUGCGUAAUAUGGCGAGGAGUUCAACAACUUCAUCCCCAUGCUGUCUACAAAUUGGACAAACUCAUCGGACACGAAAUAGAUCCUUGGUCGGUCACGAUUGUCUAUGGUAUCCCAAAUCUAUAUAUGAUAUGCUCCUUAAGAAAUUGGAUUGCAUAUCCAGAAUCAACUUUCUUCAAAGGAAUUGCCUCAACCCACUUCGUAAAAUAAUCGGUAGCCACCAAUAUAAACUUGUGCCCUUUACUCGAGGAUGGAUUAAUCUGGCCGAUCAUGUCAAUCUCCCAGCCUCUAAACGGCCAUGGCUUUAUUAUGGGAUUCAUAGCCGAUGCCGGUGCUCUUUGAAUAACCUCCUUCCCAAACUUUUCUAGAUAAGUGUUGGAGGCUUGCCAUGGAGGGCCUUCGGCUAAACCUGCCAAAACCAAAAAGUUCAAGCAACAGGCUCACGCCGAAGAUGGGCGGCGAAGGACAAGAGCGAAGCCAUACAGGCGAAAGCCGUGACUGGGCGUAACACCACCUUCGCCAAGUGGAGUUCUCGGCAGAAGGCGGCACGAGUGAAGAUGAUGUGGCGAAAGCCUCGGCACACGGGCACAGGUUUCGCCAAGUACACCCUUUACAACCUGGCCAAAUGUCACAAGUAAUGGCAGAAGGGGCUUUGGCUUUGCAGGCACAGCUUCAAGCUUUCCUUCAGCAGUCAUGCCAACCCCACAACAUUUCAGGUACAGCCCCUUCGGCCCAGCUAGAGGAGAACACGAGUCAAGGUGCACCCAGUUGGUUGCCGUCGAAUCAGCCUGGUCCGGGGGCUUCGCCUUGGAGUCAAGGACCGCAGUUUGACUUCGUCAACGCUGCUCAAGCACCAACCAUUCGGCCACAGGCACCAACACCAGGCUUCGGAGCAAACCAAGCACCAAGCCAGGUCGCCAUGGCAUGGACCUAGCCGACCUUUGACCCAUCCAUGGCAGCCCACCAAGCAUCACCAAUCGGAGCCGGGCAGCCGAACACCAUGGCCCAACCUCACGCGCAACCACUGAGUGGGGGAAUCAAGAUCCGUCCAAUCCCAGCCUAGUUCAAGUUCCCACCCGUCUCGCGCUAUUCGGGCAAAACGGACCCAAAAGAGUUCCUGUCCAUCUACGAGUCCGCGAUCGAAGCCGCUCAUGGCGACGAAAAUACCAAGGUGAAGGCACCUACGAGGAGCCGAAGACGCAGCAUCAUCUACUCGGCAUUCGCCAGAGGCCGGGGGAAUUGAUAAGGGAGUACAUGCGUCGCUUCUCGCAAGCCCGAUGUCAAGUGCAGGACAUAACUGAGGCGUCCGUCAUCAAUGCCGCUUCGGCCGGGUUGCUCGAGGGCAAACUCACAAGAAAAAUCGCCAACAAAGAGCCGCAGACGCUUGAGCACCUGCUUCGCAUUAUUGACGGGUACGCAAGGGGCGAAGAGGAUUCCAAGCGACGGCAAGCAAUCCAGGCUGAGUAUGAUAAAGCCUCCAUUGCCGCUGCUCAAGCCCAAGUACAAGCUCAGGUCGCCGAACCACCUCCCCUCGCUAUUCGCCAGCCUCAGCCGGCGAACCAAGGACAACCGCCAAGGCAAGGCCAAGCUCCCAUGACUCGGAGGAAAUUCAGAACCGACCGUGCGGGCAAGGCUGUGAUGGCUGUCGAAGAAGUUCAAGCCCUCUGCAAGGAGUUCGACGCCCAGCAAGUAAGCAACAAUCAGCAGCCCGUUCGCAAGAAGGUCAGAAAAGACCUUUACUGCGCUUUCCACGGACGCUCUUCGCACACCACCGAGCAAUGCCGAAACAUUCGGCAGCGUGGCAACGUGCAAGAUCCAAGGCCGCAACCGGGAGCAGCUGUUGAAGCACCUCGCGAAGCCGUUCAAGAACAAGCACCCCCGGCCGAACAGCGCCAAGAUGUGCAAGGCAUAGUAAUCCAAGUGAUUACAAGGGCUGACCCGCCGAAUCAAUUGUCAAAACAGCAAAAGAAGAUGCAACUAUGAAUGGUGCACAACAUCACUUCAGCGGGCGAAGGGGCCCCGCAAUAUUUGAACCAGCAGAUCUCUUUCGACCCAAAAGAUGCCGAAGGAGUGAUGUUCCCACAUCAAGACCACCUGGUGAUCUCGGCCGAGAUAGCUGGUUUCGAAGUCCGGCGAAUCUUAGUCGACGGAGGAAGUUCGGCCGAUGUCAUCUUCGCCGAAGCAUACGCCAAGAUGGGGUUGCCUACCCUAGCCCUUACCCGAGCACCGGCCUCGCUUCGUGGUUUCGGCGGAGAAGCAGUUCAAGUCCUAGGCCAAGCGCAAUUGCUGGUAGCCUUCGGCACAGGCAAAAAUAGACGCGAAGAGCAAAUACUGUUCGACAUUGUGCGACCAUGAACAAGUUCGAAGCCAUCUCCCAUCACAAUUAUGUCAAGCUCAAGAUGCCUGGCCCCGCAAGAGUGAUCGUGAUCAAGGGGCUUCAACCUUCGGCUACACCAAAGGACGAUUUGGCCGUGAUCAACAGAGCAGUGCACAAUGUAGAGGCUGAACCGCAUGACCGGGCGAAGCACGCACCGAAGCCCGGCCCUCACGGCAGGGUAAUCAAGAUGCAGAUUGACGAUGCCGAUCCUACAAGGCUUGUAUCGCUGGGGGCGACAUGGGCGAAAGAGAAGUUGAGAACAUCCUAGAGGUGCUCAAGAAAAACAUCGACAUCUUCGACUGGGGCCCCGAUGAGGUGGGAGGUGUUUCGACAGACCUCAUCAUGCAUCUCUUGGCGGUCAAGCCGGAUGCCAAGCCAAGAAAAUAGAAGCUAUGCAAGAUGUCCACUGAUCGCCAAGAAGCAGCGAAAGCUGAAGUCCAAAAGCUGCUCAAGGCUGGGGUGAUCCAGGAGAUCGACCACCCCGAGUAGCUGGCGAAUCCGGUACUGAUGCGGAAAUCGAAUGGCAAAUGGCGCAUGUGUGUCGAUUUCACAGACCUCAACAAGGCAUGCCCGAAGAACGAUUUCCCUUGCCACGGAUUGACCAACUCGUGGAUUCGACAGCUGGCUGUGAACUCAUGAGCUUUUUGGAUGCGUACUCCGCCUACCACCAGAUCCACAUGAAUCCGGCCGACAUCGCCAAGACAGCCUUCAUCACAUCAUUCGGUACCUUUUGCCACCUCAGGAUGCCAUUCGGCCUGAGGAAUGCUAGGGCAACCUUCGCCAGGUUAGUGUACAAGGUCCUUUACAAGCAGUUGGGGUGAAAUGUGGAAGCUUAUGUCGACGACACAGUCGUAAAAAUCUGCAAGGCUAUCGACCAUGCGUCCGACUUGCAGGAGACCUUCGACAACUUACGCGCGCGGGUAUAAAACUAAAUCCGGAAAAGUGUGGUUUUGGUGUUCACGCGGGCAAGUUGCUGGGUUUUCUUAUUUCCUAAAGGGGUAUCGAGGCGAACCCCAAGAAAAUCGAUGCCAUUCAGCAAAUGAAGCCCCCAUCGAGCGUACUCGAAGUACAAAAGGUCGCAGGCCGAAUUGCGGCACUCAGUCGAUUCCUCUCAAAGGCAGCCGAAAGAGGCUUGCCCUUCUUCAUGACCCUCCGGGGCGUGGGAAAGUUUACCUGGACACCCGAAUGCCAAGCAGCGUUCGACGAAUUGAAGCACUAUCUGCAAAGCUCACCAGGUUUGAUCAGCCCAGCACCUGGAAGCGAAUUGCUACUUUACCUAGCAGCUUCGCCGGUGGCGGUCAGUGCAGCCCUCGUCUAAGAGAUAGAGUCAGGCUAGAAACUAGUCUUUUUCAUCUCCGAAGCAUUGCAAGGAGCGAAGAUAAGAUACAUUGAAAUGGAGAAGCUUGCUUACGCUCUGGUGAUGGCUUCGUGCAAGCUUAAACAUUACUUUCAGGCCCACAAAGUCAUGGUGCCAUCAUAGUACCCUUUGGGCGAAAUACUCCGAGGCAAGGAAGUCACUGGCCGGCUCAGCAAGUGGGCAGCGGAGCUAUCUCCCUUCGACUUGCAUUUUGUCGCCCGCACUACCAUCAAGUCCAAAGUCCUAGCUGACUUCGUGGCCGAAUGGACACCGGCAUUCGCCCUCGAGCCCGAGCCUGUCGAACAACCCUGGGUGAUGUACUCCGACGACUCGUGGUCGCACAAGGUUGCGGGCGCUGUGGCAGUGCUUUCCUCGCUAGGGGGCGUGCUGAUUCGGUAUACCGCAAGACUGCAGUUCGACACAACCAACAACGCAGCAGAAUAAGAAGCUAUUCUGCUGGGCCUAAAAAAGGCGAAAGCGUUGGGUGUUCGACGCUUGCUCAUCCUAACUGACUCCAAACUGGUGGCAAGUCAUGUUGACAAAUCUUUUGAGGCAAAAGAAGAAGGAAUGAAGAGGUAUCUGGAGGCUGUUCGAUCUAAGGAAAAAUGCUUUGCCGGCAUAACGGUCGAACACUUACCUAGAGGCCAGAACGAGUAAGCUGACGCCCUGGCGAAAUCUGCUGCUUGUGGGGGCCCACAUUCACCUGGCAUCUUCUUUGAGGUCCUAUACGCACCAAGUGUGCCCAUAGAAAGCCUAGACAUCAUGGCAAUCGGCCAGACAGAGCUGGGCGAAGACCUAGAGGACUAGCGAACCCCAUUCGUAAAGUACCUCAAGAACGGCUGGCUCCCGGAGGACGAAGCAGAAGCAAAACGCCUACAGCUUAGAGCCGCAAAAUACAAGCUGGUCUCGGGACAGCUAUAUCACUCCAGGGUGCUCCAACCCUUGCUUUGCUGCAUCUCCUUUGCCUAAGGUGAGGAAAUGGCGAAAGAAAUACACCAGGGGCUCUGUGGUGUGCACCAGGCCGCAAGAACAGUCGCCUCCAAAGUGUUUCGACAAGGUGUAUACUGGCCCACCAUGCUAAACGUCUGUGUCGAGCAAGUCAGGAAGUGCGAAAGCUGUCAGCGCCAUGGCCAAAGCCAAACCGCGCCCCAAUACGAGCUACAGCCUAUCGCACCAAUCUGGUCGUUCGCCAGAUGGGGGUUGGAGAUCAUCGGCCCGUUCCCUGUGGCGCGAAACGUGUACAAAUUCGCAAUUAUGGCCAUUGAAUACUUCUCGCGAUGGAUCGAGGCCGAACCACUUGGGGCGAUCAGUUCAGCGGCAGUACAGAAGUUCGUAUGGAAGAACAUAGUUUGUCGUUUCGAAGUUCCAAAAGAAUUAAUCACUGACAACGACAAGCAAUUCGACUCUGAAUGAUCCAGAGAAAUGUGCGAAGGGUUAAACCUUGAAAUCAGGUUCGCUUCGGUCGCGCACCCACAGUCGAAUGGGUCGGCAGAAUGCAGGAACGGCAAGAUUCUAGAGGCACUCAAAAAAAGGCUCGAGGGGGCGGCAAAAUGUGGGGCGGUGAGCGUCACGUCCGAAACGGUCGCUUCGACCGCUGGAGCUUUUCCCUCUCGUUGACGGACAGGCGAAGGAACCGCCUCAACCCAUUCGCCCUUGGAAACAUUCGCCUUAGCGGCUGGUGCCGAGGCACUCCCACCCGUCGCCGCUUCAGCAUCGCUAGCAGGUGGUGGAGUCAUACGCCUGCCACGAGAAGGUGCGCGCCGCAAAACCGGCGAAGUAGGAGUCCCGUCGGACCCUUCGCUGUCCGAAAAGCCGCGGCCAACUUGCACAACCUUUCCUUUCUUUUUCUUCCUCCUGGCGGUCAUCACCGGUUUCGCAGCUGUGCUGGAAAUCACCAGGAGGGUGUUCGCCACAAUGAUAUCUUGCAGCCUCGUAGGCGAAACAUGAGAACCUGCCCCGGAUUUCGCAGGAGUAGGACUGAGGGUAUAGCCAUGGGACCUAUCAUCCUUAGAACCAGCCACCAGCCUCCCCAUCUUCUUCUUCCUCCACCUCCCCAUCACUUUCGACCGCAAUGUUCGCGCUGCAGCAAGUUCGAACUUGGCCGCCUUUCGUGACCGCACGCUUGCGUUUCUUCGAAGGGCCGACUUCGUCAUCCCCGGCUCUGGAGGGGUUCGAUCGACUUGGCAGUUCGCCAAUAUGAACCCGGUUCAUCCGGCCAUUGGUUUGGCGCUGAAGCAAGUGAGCGAAUUCGGCUGUGGUUAGAGCUCCUAUCAUCUUCGACGCCUAUAUUUCGGCGUCUUCCAAAGUCCGCACUGCGAAAAAUGCAGAACAAAAAAACGACUGUUUAGCCUAAAGGGCACUUCCAUAAAGGAAAUAUGCGGCUUAGAGCAAAAACAAAAUCUUACUUUCGACCCAGUAGGGAGAACAAGGCGGGGAAGCCCAAGAACCUCUUCGCUCUCGUUCACGGAAACAUCCCUGACAUGGGCGAGGGCGGAAAUCCGAAGGAGGCAAAACUCCUCACAAAGGUCCCGGGUGCUUAGCCGCUGAGCGACCUUAUGAAGGAGUAUGAGCCCGGACUCGAGAGUCCCAUCGAUCUCCAUGUUCGGCUUCGCGAUGAUAGAGACGGCGGAACACUCAAAAAGGAGCCAAUUCGCCUUGACAACCUCGGCGGGGUAGGGGUUGGCAAUGUAGAACCAUUUUUGCAUCCAGUUCCUAUCCCACUUGGCCAUUGACGCGGGCACUGGCCAAGCGUCUGAGUGCUCCGGCCGAAGCAUGAAGUUCACGCAACCGAAGACGGUUUUCCUCGGACCAGCCGGCGUCUGCACGACUUUGGUCGAGGCGCAUGCUGUAAAUAGCGUGGCGAGUAGCUCGGCGGUAGGGGCAAACCCGCAGGUUCGACACAUCCAAGCGAAAACCGCCAGCUUCGGGAACGCUGAUGGGCUAAGCUGGGGAAGCCUAACCUCAUACGUCGCGAGCACGGACGACAGGAAGUCGUCACAUGGGAGGCGAAGCCCAGCGGCGAAGUAGGCAGGAAAGACAACCGUUCGCCCAUCACUAGGCGAAGGGACAACGGCUUUGCCCCCACAUGAUCCUUGGCCCUUCACGAGAACACCGGAGGAAACCAACUCGCCUAAGUCGGCCUCCUUGACAAGCGAUUUGCCAAGGAAGCACGACCACCCUUCGCCAAGGCCGCCAGGGUCUUCGCCAGUUGACCCGGCUUUAGUAGGCUUGCGAGGAGCCAUCAAGCUCGCGGCCAAGGAAAGAGAGGGAAAAAGCCGAAAGGCUAAAAGCACAACGGUGGUGAAGAAGCUAAGAGGUGGGCAAAUGACGAAAGCACAGAGCGCGUCAAGCGGUAAAAAAGUGAAGAGUGCGGGGGGGGAUGGUGAGAAAAUAGCAGGCCAGCCUGGGGUUUAUAUAACCCCGUCGCGAGACCGUUCGCCUGCCAACCAAUUAAACCCUGACACGUGUCCAGGGGCAGACGAAACGGUAAAUUCCCAUCGGGCCGGAGCCGAACAGUAAAAAGGCCGAUUGCGGAAAAGGAGAGGCCCACGGGGCCCAUUACUAUUCAUAGUAAUAAAAGAGACAAGCUAACCCUUUUCGACACCUUGUAACAAAUGCGAGAAAGGAAUUUUCUCAAGAAAUUUUUGUAAGCAUGAAAACAAGUUAUUUAUUUUGCAGGACUGCAUCACGGAUUUCGGCAGGAACAUUGGCCGAAAGGGGGCGCCUCGUGGUAUACCAUUCGAUUUGCACGGUCUCGGCCGAAGCUCCCUACUCACCCUUGCCCGUGAGGGGCUUGUUGGAGGCUUGCCAUGGAGGGCCUUCGGCCGAACCUGCGGAAACCAAAAAGUUCAAGCAACAGGCUCAUGGCGAAGGUGGGGGGCAAAGGACAAGAGCGAAGCCGUACGGGCGAAAGCCGUGACUGGGGGUAACACCACCUUCGCCAAGUGGAGUUCUCGGCAGAAGGCGGCACGGGCGAAGAUGAUGCGACGAAAGCCUCGGCACACGGGCACGGGUUUCGCCAUAGCACCAAACCCCGUUGACAGGAGGCUUGGUGGGCCGCUACAUCCUCGGGGGAUUUCACCAGAUAGAUGGGCCGAGCUAUUUAGGCCCAGUAGGGGCCGUAUGUGUAAAGGACACAGUGUGCCCUUCAUAAUGUCCCUAUCAUAAGUGUAACCAUGUAAAUUCCCCUAUAUAACCUAAACCCUAGUAGUGGGAGCCUGUAAUGGGGCUAUAAAUAGCCCCCUAGGGCCAUGUAAUAGGGGGAUCCCAAGAAAAAUUCUCAAUUUAAUACACUAUAACUGUUUUCCACCACCGUUGAGUAACCACGUCUUUCGACGUAUGCGGUUGUCGUUUCGACAACAAUAAGCAAUCAAUACCUUCCAUCUCCCAAAUAGAUACAUCGGCAUUAGCAACAUUAACUGCCUGUCUGUCACGUCCUGAUAAAUUCAUCCCGAAAUAAAAAUCAUUAUGUAAAAGGUAUAAUAGAAUUAAUUAAAAUUCGAAAAGAAAUUGGAUAACACUAAAAUACGUACAAGAAAAACUCGAAUGUGGCCCAGAGAAUUUUUGUUAAAUUCUCCAUGGUCGCGCGUUGACCGCGCGCCUCCCGCGUGGGUCCCGCCUGUCAGGCGCGUCCCUGACCUCCAGCCGCCGGUCUCCCUCCUCUCUCUCCCGUGAAACUCUAUCCGUUUCCUCCCUCAAAUCCGCGCGAUUCAAGCAUUGGAUUCCAAAAUUGAUUGGGGAGAAUUAAUCCCCUUUCCAUCCUCUUCAAUUCCCCCUAAUUUCCCUCAUCAAUCGUGCAUCAUUGCACCUGGAACGGCCGCACCAUUCAUGGCCACCUUCCAUGGCCGCCGGCCGCCAAUCCCGCCGCCGUUCCGCCCUCACCUGUGGCCGGCUCGUUCCCCUCCGCUAUAAAAUGGAACCCCCUCGCUCCGUUCUCUCGUUUUAGCCUCCUCCCGCUUCUCCCCGUGGCAGCACCACCUCUCCCCGUCGCAGCCGCCUCUCCUUCCCCGGCGUGGCCUCCGUUUCGCACGGAGACCAUCGGAGUCGCGUCCUCGUUGGCAACCAGUGGUGUUGUCACCACUCCACCGCCUCCAGCCGCCCCGGUCGCCGCGCCAGUGUGCCGGCCGACAUCGCAGCAGCAAGGUCGCCCUCGGCCUCGCCUCCCCUCCACUCGAACCCCGCCGGUGUUCGUCGUCGUCGUCUCCGUCCGACGUCGCCAUCCCCUCCUUCGGUCGGCCAUUCCUCCUCGCCGGCUCGUUGUCUCGCUGCGCCACCACCGUCGUCGGCAUCGCAGCGGCGUGUUCCACGCCGUCCUUGCAUCCAUGCAGCUGCUGCCGGUUGCCCUCGUCGCCUCCUCGCCGGCCCGGUCGUCGCGUCCUCUCGUCGUUCCCGGUCGUCGUGGCGUUCGUCCCUCCAUGAAGCCAAUCGCGUUCGCCGCCCGUGGUUCGUCAAGCGAGCCGCUGCAGCCCCGUCGUCGUCUUCGUCCUCGGCUCCGCAUCGUCAAGCGUUGCGCCGGCCGCGUCUCGCCUUCGUCCAAGGAUCACUGCCGAAGUCGUUCCCUCGCCAUUCGCCUCCGUCGUCCCCGAGCCGUCUCCGCCGCGCCCGUUCGUCGUCGUCGUGCCGCGCCUCGUCGCGUGGUGGUAAGGAUCCCUCCUCUCGCUGCCCUGUCCUCGUCCUUUCGGUGUCACCCCGUGCCCGUUGUACGGUUGUCGACCCCGGUACCCGUGUACCAGUGUCGGUAGUCGUUCAUGUGUGCGUGUGGUGACCGUGUUAGUGUACCCGCUCGGUAGCCACGUGGUUUCCACGUGUGCAGCCCGCAUGGUGUCUAGUGGAGUCCGUUUGUCGGCCACUUGCCUCAGUUGACACAUGAGGUCCGUUUCCGUCGACCCGUGCACCGUCUCUGUGUACCGGGUCCACUGUGGUCCCUUAGGUUGACAUGUGGGGUCCGUAUGUCAACAACGCAGCCUUCCUGUCUUUUCCAGGCUAGCGCUUACACAUGUUUUAUAGUUGCAAAACCUAAUUAUAAUAAUCCGCAAAUCUUCAUAUAACAGCAUUAAACUUCGGAUGACCAUGUCUUGGUCAUACGAACCCCGAAUCGACCCGUUCAAGUCUUCUAAUGUUUAUUAUAACCUAAAGAACCCUGUGCUUUCUUUUUAUGUAUUGUUAUUGCUUCUUUAUAGGCUUGUAGCUUUGCUUGUGUGCUUCGUGUAGCUUCUGUCGUUCCGGAGGUUCCCGAAGCGUGGUUUGCGGUCAUCGCCGAAGGUUCGGAAGGCUGUUCUCUCUGAGCAAGGCAAGUCACAUCAUCCUUAAGCAUAUUGAAACCCAGUUUAUGAAAUUAUUUCGGUUUAAAUUAUUGCAUUCCCGCGUUACCAUGGUUUUAUUUAGCAAUACCUAUUAAUGUUUGUUAUAGCCUUAUCAUUGCUAUUGUUUAUUAUCACCUUGUACACCCUAGGAAAACAAAACCCCUAUUAGUGGGUACUCUAUUCAUGGUCUCACUAGUAUGAAUUUAGGUAGAUGCUUCGUUGAUAAUUAGGCAACACUAGAUGGUUUUAUAACUUUAGACUUUGGGAGUUCUCUUAUCAUUUGGACAUUGUGAAAUGGUUGACUUGUGAUGGAAUUGAACACACACCUCCCCCCUCUAUUCAAAACUUCCAAAAUGGUUUUAGGCUGGGCUCGAGGUGCAUGGUUUUGCUAGGAGCACCUCGGCUAUCAUAAGGAUCGGUCCUCGGCCCUGAUCCAAUCUAGCUCCAGGGAAGUCGGCGUCAUACUCCAACCUCUCGGGACGGUUUCGACGGAAGAAUUUGGAUGGCUACCUUAGCUCCCCCGGUGUCGAUUCUCGACCGACGGAGAUCCUCGAGUACGACGACUUUGGCUACCACUACAACUACAACAACCUCGACGACUUCGACGAAGGCUACAGAGACAACUACACGCCUCUCUUCUUCGGCGUUUUCAUGGCUGAUAACGAGACGGCAGAACAGCGUCAAGCCCGAGAAGCAGAAGAACAGCGUACGUGACAAGAAGCCGAGCGUCGCUGACUGGAGAAGGAGCGACUAGCACAAGAGCGAGACCGGCUGCAGCGUGAGCAACAGGAGCGCGAAAGGGCCGCGAAGGAGGCUGAGGACCGGCAACACCUCGCCUUGGAGGCUGGGCGACGAGCACGAGAAGCAUUUUUUGGGAAGCAGAUUGCAUGUUUUCAGUUAAUGGUCAAGUAUUACAAGUGUAACAAGUAGAUAAAUGUUCUUCCCAAAAAAAUUUUACAAAAGUGAUUAAUCAACCCUUAACAUAAGUCAAUUGUUCUCAAAGGUAUGCAUAUUAACCAUGAACAUACUUCUUUCCACUUAUAAGAGGAAAAAUUUUGCUUCUUUCAGGUUGGAUGCACUAACAUACACAUUCAACCCUGCAUUCCCUGCAAGCUCAUUCGCCAACAUACGGUUCUUCACCUGCAACCUACCACACUCCCAAGUCUUCCUCGACAAUUUCUUUCAUGAAGUACCAAUAAUGCAAUUCACUAUUCCAUGAUCCGAUAAAAAGUCAGGGACAUCAAAAAAUCACUGCUAAAUCUAUUGAUCAUAUCUCCAUUUUCGUGUUAAGCAGCUUUUGAACAUUAAAAAAAGACGUGAAUAUUAGGGAAUGACCUAAUAUCAAAUAAUUAGAAAGUGUGAAGUUUCGAAUCUAAGUUGUCUAGCCCACCACCUUGUGGAGCUAGCCGGAAACCCCUUGGGCGUUUCUCACUUCUAAGCACAUUCUUUCUCUGCGUAACUGCCCCCAUCAUCACCUUCGGUGGCCGCCUGCUACCUCACCAAAAACUAUUUGCAAAUAUGAUACUCCCCCCGUUUCUAAAUAUUUGAUGUCGUUGACUUUUUUAAAUAUGUUUGACCGUUCGUCUUAUUCAAAAAAUUUAAGUAAUUAUUAAUUCUUUUACUAUCAUUUGAUUCGUUGCUAAAUAUACUUAUAUGUAUACAUAUAGCUUUACAUAUUUCACAAAAGUUUUUGAAUAAGACGAACGAUCAAACAUGUGCUAAAAAGUCAACGGUGUCAAAUAUUUAGAAACGGAGGGUGUUAGUGAUAUGCCCUAGAAGCAAUCAUAGAGAUGAUUGUAUCACAUACUAUGUUUACAUAUUUAUCCGACAUUGUUCCUUGAAAUAGAUAACUCAUUAUUGGUUAACGAAUAUGUGAUUCUUUCAUGAGACUCUUUAUGUUGUUUGUUACUAUUUCUAAAGGAUCCCUGUUCAAAUAUCAUAUGUGGAACAAAUAUGAUUAGAUGAUCAGCACAUGUAUUAAUUGAUGAUCAUGUCUCAUGGAUCAUGGUAUAGAGAUACCAAAUUAAUAAUGUGGAUACAUGUUAGUGAACAUGUUGUUAGAUAGACCCAACAUGAGACACUGCAAGAGCCAUAUGUGUUGUGUCAUCAGUGAUCUCAUUUAGUGUUGGUGUUGAAUCCUUAGACCUGAGAUUAUUAUGGUUCCCAACAUGUGUAGUAGCUUACUUAGGGACUCCUAAACGCUACUCCGUAAUUGGGUAGUUAUAAAAGUAGUUUUCGGGUAUGCUAUGAAACAUGUAGUGAGAUAUGAAUAAUCAAGAUGGGAUUUGCCCCUCCUAUGGAGAGAUAUCACAAGUUAUAUAAUCUAUCAACAGGUUCGAGUGAAUGAUUGAGCUAUUAGAGGAUGGCACAUAUCUAGCCUUGAGCUUAAUCGAUAUCGUGAGGCAAAGGGGUUCAUACAAGUAUACACUAGAGGUUCAGCCGAUAUGAACUUUACGUAUGCCCGGUGGGUCAAUACGUUCUGCUAGGGGCCGCUGUUGACGCGUGGACCAAAAAGGACUUUUCGGGUUACAACCGAGUAUAUAUGAACGUACAGGGUCGCACGCUUAAUGGGCCGGAAUAAGGGGAUUGGAUGGAGAUCCAAUAUGAGCUUAAUUCGGAUAGGGAUCCGAAUAGGAGUCCUAUGGGCCUUGGAGGCCCGAGUGAUGAUCCUAUAUAUUCGAGAGGGGUGUGAUCGGCGGAGGUAUUUGCAUCACGUGAGAAACCCUAGCCGUCACUUCCCUCCCCGAGCAAAACCCAAGCCACGCGCGGGUGCUAGCACAUCUGCGCGUGGCGUUUCGUCCUUGUACGUGUGGAUACCGGUAGAGGCGCCGCUGGUUUGUGGUGCUGAUCGGCGUGGGAGUACGGUGAGGAGAACGCACGAGGAGGAGAAGGUCGAGCCGGUGCGAUCGACUACUUUCUCUACAUCGACACGUGCUACUUCGCGAGAAUUCCUUCGACUUCUUAGCGCCUUUUUCCACUGCGCAGCGCGUCGAGUGGUAACAAUCUAUGAUCUAAUACUUGCAAGGUUCCUGGUUUACGCGAUAGAAAAUUUUUAUUUAUACUAUCGUAGCCUACGCGUAUCCCAACAGAGGGAGUACAUGCGAAACCCAACAUGAAAUCUGGUACAUGAGGACAAAAAUGCUCACCUCAACAUUGAGCUCCAAGAUCAACUUGGUAGUAAUACAGCAGCGUUGAUGCUAACUCAAGCAGCAGUCUGGGAUUUGGCUUCGGCUCCUGCAUGUAAGUACAAAGCCAGGAGGGGUGGGGACUGGGGACGCGGGGGGAGGUUGGGAGGGGUAGCCGAUCUGGAUCUGUGAACGAGAGAGAGGUGAGUGAUCUAGAUAGUUGGUUUUAUAUGAGAUGGUUUAGGCCAUUAGAUUUGUUCAAUAAUAAUAAUGAUGAGUAAAACGAGUUGGUGAAUUAUAGAGUAGAGAUGACAGAUACUAUAUGUAUUAAUAGAGAGUAGUGUUGACGGUCGUUAUUGAUCAGUUUCGACCGACAAUAUUACUAAAACAGGAGAGAACUAGUGAUGCUUGCGAAGCAUAAAUAUGUUAGAAUAAUAAUAUUCCACUAGUGUUAGGUUUACUAACCUUUUGCAGAGAAUGAUCAUAAAGUGGAGGAGAAUCGACAUCAACACCAACGAUAAAUCAAUCGAAUGAUGUCGAGAACCAGAUUUAUGCAUGAAUUGGCCAAGAACUCAGAAUUGACACGACAAACUGGGCCAAAAUUCACAAGUCUGCGAAGAGAAGCAACAGAGGAGGCCGCCAGCCGAAAUUGAGCUGGAUCGGGCCGGCCCCAGGUUCGGCUGAACCAGGGGGUUCG